GGCUCAGUGGUCCAAUGAUAAAACGCUCGUCGUGGAGCUAGAGAGUCCUGGGUUCGAUUCCCAAUAUGGUCG
rnacentral:tRNA from 1 species